CUCUUCAGCUACAUGCAGUGGGUGUGGGGGGGCAUCUGGCCCCGACACCGCUUCUCUUUGCAGGUCGAAAGGGGCAAGGACCCCCUUUUGUCCCUUUGAUCUUUGUGGGUGGUCAGGGGUAUGUUGGGGAUUAAGGCAUGAGGGUCCUGAUUGUUAGUGAGGGAAGUCAGUCCUGGCUGCUCAGUAGUUUUUCCUCCACAGGUUAACAUCCGAAAAAGAGACAAUUCCCGGAAGGAAGUCCAACGAAGGAUCUCUGCUCAUCAGCCAGGUAAAGGUGUUGGCUGGGGAGCUGUUGAGGUGGGCUAGGUUGAGCUGGGCUGGGCCAGAAGGAGUCCCUGCUUCAUCCAGUAUGAGGCUUAGGGUAUCACCGACUGAGACAAGGGUCAAAGGAAAGGCGAGGAAGGUGAGGUUGGCACUGCCGUCCAGGCACAGCCACCCUAACCCUAACCUGUCCUCUCCCUCUUUGGAGGUGCAGGGCCUGAAGGCCAGGAGGAGUCAACUCCGCAAUCAGAUGUUACAGAGGAUGGUGAGAGCCCUGAAGAUCCCUCAGGGACAGAGGGUCAGCUGUCCGAGGAGGAGAAACCAGAUCAGCAGCCCCUGAGCGGAGAAGAGGAGCUAGAGCCUGAGGCCAGUGAUGGUUCAGGCUCCUGGGAAGAUGCAGCUUUGCUGACGGAGGCCAACCUGCCUGCUCCUGCUCCUGCUUCUGCUUCUGCCCCUGUCCUAGAGACUCUGGGCAGCUCUGAACCUGCUGGGGGUGCUCUCCGACAGCGCCCCACCUGCUCUAGUUCCUGAAGAAAAGGGGCAGACUCCUCACAUUCCAGCACUUUCCCACCUGACUCCUCUCCCCUCGUUUUUCCUUCAAUAAACUAUUUUGUGUCAGC
rnacentral:lncRNA from 10 species